rnacentral:lncRNA from 1 species
AAAGAUCAAUAACCUGAACUAAGGAGCCAAAUCAAAUAGGAACAAAGAGAAGAGACUACUGAUAAUAUGAGAUUAAGACACCCACCAUGAUGUGAUUCCAAUAGCCACAUAGAACAAGAUUCUUGACACUUUGAGGAAUCACCUUGAGCUGGAAAAUGUAGAGGCACUUUCUUAGAAGUUGGAUCAUGGUUCUAAGAUCAAGAACUCACCAAAACAAGUACCAAAUCCCAAACUCAUUUGGAUGAACCAAAUAUUGUCAAAUUGAAUCAACAAAGGAGAAGGAAAAGAAUAAACCGAACAGAAUUGAACUUAAAAACAAAAGAACCGAACAGAAUUUAAAAACUAAACAGAAUAAAGGUGCUGGAAAAAUUAAAGGAACUGAAACAAAAACAACUCAAAACUCAAGGCAACAAGAACAAAUUGAAGAAGAAGAAAGGAAGGAGAAGAGAAUGCUCAUGAAGAUGGAGGAAUGGUUGGAUGAUCACGCCACUAGAAGAAUGGAUGCUCCUAGAUGAGUGUGGAAGCCGCCACUUGAGGAAACCAUGGUCCUUCAAGAUAAGACUAGAGAAGAAGCUCAAAGCUCUCCAAAUGCUCACUCCAAUUUUGAGUAUAGUUUCUUUAGAUAAAAUUCAAAUCUCCAUUUUACAAAGGAAGCACCUCUAUUUAUAGCCUAAGGUGCUGAAAAAUAGGUGGGAAAUUUCAAAUAAACUCAUUUGAAAUUCCCACCAAAAACAAGUCACAUGGGAGGUGUGACCUUUUUCUACUAUGACACCUCCCAAAAACUAUACCUACACCACUCUCCUAAGUCACAUGGACAAUGUGACUUUAUUUUACAUUUUCACACACCUUUAUUUAAUAACCACACCUCCUAAAACUAUACAAGAGUAUUUCAAAGCUUGGCCUUGCCCCUCAUGGGAUGGACUUGGGCUCUUUGGGCUUUGGCCUUCUUGGGCUUGGGCUUGGGCUUUGGGCUUGGGCCUCAUCUUUAUUUUAUGUCUUCUUUUAAUUUUGAGAAGACUAGAAGGAAGAACUUCAAAUGUGAGGGUGGAUGUCCUCUUCCUCCAUUAAUAAAAGCCUCCUUUAUUUGAUUCUCAUCAUACUCCUCGAGUUGGAGAGAAUUCGUCCACGAUUUCUGAAUCCCUGCAUAUAANNNNNNNNNNNNNNNNNNNNNNNNNNNNNNNNNNNNNNNNNNNNNNNNNNNNNNNNNNNNNNNNNNNNNNNNNNNNNNNNNNNNNNNNNNNNNNNNNNNNUUAUGUGGUUGUAGUUCUUGGUUGAUGAACACGCCACUUGAAGUGUGAAUGCUCCAAGAUAAGUGUGCAAUGCCGCCACUUGAGAGAACCAAGGCACUCAAGAUGAGACUAGGAAGAGGAGAAAUCAAAUCUCACUCACUCAAUCACCAAAUUGGGAGAGUUUCUUUAGAUAAAAUUCAAAUCUCCAUUUUACAAAGGAAGCACCUCUAUUUAUAGCCUAAGGUGCUGAAAAAAUAGGUGGGAAAUUUCAAAUAAACUCAUUUGAAAUUCCCACCAAAAACAAGUCACAUGGGAGGUGUGACCUUUUUCUACUAUGACACCUCCCAAAAACUAUACCUACACCACUCUCCUAAGUCACAUGGACAAUGUGACUUUAUUUUACAUUUUCACACACCUUUAUUUAAUAACCACACCUCCUAAAACUAUACAAGAGUAUUUCAAAGCUUGGCCUUGCCCCUCAUGGGAUGGACUUGGGCUCUUUGGGCUUUGGCCUUCUUGGGCUUGGGCUUGGGCUUUGGGCUUGGGCCUCAUCUUUAUUUUAUGUCUUCUUUUAAUUUUGAGAAGACUAGAAGGAAGAACUUCAAAUGUGAGGGUGGAUGUCCUCUUCCUCCAUUAAUAAAAGCCUCCUUUAUUUGAUUCUCAUCACACCAUGUAUGAGUUAAUUUGCCAAAUCAAAAGAAUCAAUAGAAAAUCUUGCAUAUAGGUUUUAGAAAAAUAUGAUUUACGCAUUUUAACUACUUUUUCUUAUGCAAUUAACAUAUAUAUGAUUCAGUUAUUGAGUUCCAA